rnacentral:sRNA from 2 species
CGCGCCGUCUUUGGGGAGUAGCCGUUCCGCCACCCCGGCGGAAGCAAGCGUCAACAUACUUGGUCCACCUGACCAUGGCGCCUGCAACGAAGUCGCCCGACUUCGCCUGGCAAGACCAUGGACGCAUCCGACCGGCAAGGGGCCGCGGCGGACUGCGUCUAUGCGUUUUCUGCCGGCCCC